GCUGCCAGCUGAGCUCUGCCGCCCAAAAGCAGCAGCAGGUUUCCUGUUUUUGGUAAAGAACACCUCAGGCUCUCCAAGCAGCUGCUUUGUCUUCCUGAGCCUCUGAAUGGAAAGAAAUGGCUCUGCAGAGAAGAAUGGCAGGAAUGCACAGACUGGAUCAGCUGCAGGAGAACGGGGAUCCAAGGGAGCAGCUCAGCCUGCAGAAGAGAGUGGAACUACUUGGGUUUUAUGAUGUUGGCCAGGACUUUGGGCAAGGUGCGAGACCCAUGGGA